rnacentral:lncRNA from 1 species
ACAAACUCCAAACAAAGUCUUAGUUAGUAAAUCAAAAUUAAUAAAUGAAGUUCGUAAAUCAAACACGAAAUUAUCAAAUUUUCCCAUCUCACUUUUUCAAUCUUGUCAUCUUCAGGUUAAUCCACUUCUUAUUGUUCUUCUUCUUGCAUCACCAACUUCAUCUUUUUCACUUUCUUUCUCUCCCUCUUUCUUUGAUAAUACCUUCAUCUUCAUCUCCAUCGUUUUCAUCUUUCUUUCCCCCAAUCUGCUUCAAUAACAUCUCUCCUCUUUUUUGCCAAAAAUUGCCAAAAGAGUUAGUCCAUAGUUACAUGACC